GCCGAGGAAGAACCGGAAGAUGAGAAGAAAGGAGCGGAUGGUGCAUGGGCACCGACGAAGGAACGUGGAAAACGAUGAGGGUUGCGGGACAAGAGCGCGUGUCCCACACCUUCGCACGUGUCUGUGUGUAAUAGUGUGUGUGCAAAGAUGUUCCUAUCAAUGCAUACAUAUAUGGACACAUAAAUAUGUAUACACAGACAACCGCGCCGACAAUCGUAUCUGUAUUACAUCCGGUCGUGACAAUUUGCAAUUCAACGCCGGUGCAAGGAUGGAAGGUCUGAAGCGGCAAUCGACGGUUCCGCCGCUGUGCAAUCUCCCUCUAUCCUUCUCCACUUCCUUCGUCUCCUCCUCCGCGCUUUCUCCGCAUCUUCUCUGGCUCUGCUCCCUUUUCGUCGUUACCUCGUAUCUAACUCGCAGCAUCUCUGCGAUACACACUUUGACUAUAAACUCUCUGGUCCUGCAACAAUCCUUCCUUCCUCCGUCUCCUUUUCACUUUCUCUUUCUCGCUCGAUCUCUCCUGAACUCGGGCCCGCUUGAUAGUUCCCUGGCUAUUCGUCUGUUUAUAGCUUUCUGUCUUCGUCGAACGGCUAUCUCCUCGCUCAUUUCCUUCUCUCUUUCUCCACCUGAAUGCUCUUCCCUUGCUCUUUCUUCGUUUCUCUCGUCUGUGCAGCCUCCUCCGCGAGGCUGCAUUUUCAUCUCCGUUUAUCUGUCUUCACCUGGUUCCAUCUCUUCCUUUCUCUCUCUUUCCUUUUCCUUCUUGUGCUUCCUUGCAUUUAUAUUUGUUUGGCUCUGUCUCUGUCUAACGACCCGCGUUCCUCUCUCUCGCUUUCAUUGAAUCUUCAGCUCCUAAUCUGUCUCUGUCCCUCCAAUUUUCUCUCUGCUUAUUCGACUUUCUCUCUCUCUCUCUCUCUCUCUCUAUCUCCCAGUCUACUUCUCUUUGGCGAAGAGAGCCCCGUGUGUUCUACAUCUCUGUUUGAUCCUUGCGAAUUGGUUAUGGUCCUGGUGCUAACCAUGGGGAUAAAGGCCUGCUCAGCAGCACCGGAGGGCUUGCAACAGCGUUUACAAUGCCUCGAAAUAUUCGUCUUCGCGUUCCGAGACAGCCUGUAUACCACUUGACUCUACAUACAUAUAACGAACCGCAAGAUGCACUUUGUAUACGCUCAUGCAAAGCGUGUGCAAUCCCUACCCAAUGUGGAUGCCUGCGAUCCGUAAUACUACAGAAAACGAUGGAUAAAUUGAGACACGACGAUUUUCCUCGGAUGGACUCAUCUCGUGGUUUUAUCCACGCUGUAAACACUGAUAAAGAUUCAUCUCGAUGUUCGUCCCCCGACGAUCCUUCUUGGAGGACUUGCGCUUCCAUUUUUCUUAACCCACGUCAGCGUUUUAUGCUGAGAUUCUGCAAAGUGUACUCCGGAAUAAAGAUUCUGCUGGCGUGAUAGAAUAAAAUACUAUCCGAAGAGACGUUUACAUCGAUUUAUCUUGUACCGCACGAUGAAAAUGUAUUCUAAAGUCGUAUGUGUGGCUUGAUUCAGUAUUCAUGGUAUUCCUCGUAUUCCAUCAUCGUUCUCUCGUCACACAUCCAACACGAGUAUCUUGACGUAAUGGCUGCUGCCUAAUGCAGAACAAAGUUGAAAGCUUUAACUUCUUUUCGUUCAAUUUUAAGCUUUUCGCGAUACAAGAGAGAACGAGAAAAAUAUCUCUCGACGUGAACAUUGAAAUGGCAUCGACGAUUCAACUGUUAUGUAACUGUGUUUCCCUCGAUCGAAACUGAGACGGGAAAUGCAGAGCGCUCUGCUCCUGGAUACUGAGAAUCGAUAAGUCGUUUCCUGUCAGCUAGAUAGACGUGGGCAGAAGAGUUUUGGCGAAUAUAAAGAUUGAAGCAGGGAGCAGGCGAGGCCAGCAUUGAGCAAACAUCAGGUAACCGGAAUCUCAAGUCGAAAAAUCACUUCCCUUACCGUGACGUCUGUAUUCUGUAGAUUUUUUAUCAUCGUAGUUAUCAAGCUUUUUUCUCAAUAUUUCGAGCUUGGGUCGAACUGUUUUAGCUGAUGUGAAAAAACUUUCACUCAAAACUGUGUAUUGAUUAACAUUUUGAAAAAAAAACACAAAUUAAAUUCCCAACAGUCAAUGGGCAACGAAUUGUAUAUUUUUUUACUGAAUUUUAAAAAAUUCAGUGUCAGCCAUUACGAGAAUGCACGCUCAAGAUUUUUACGAUCGAGCGAUCUAACAUUGAGCGAAUCGAUCCUGUUGAUAGACUCACUGUCGCCGAGCAAAAACGGCUUCAGUUUCUAUGUGCUACCACUUGAAUUGUUUUUCAAUCGUAUGGAGAAACGUUGACUCAGAGAAAUAUGUAAGAUUUCGCAGUUAAGUAUACAAAAGUGGUUUCUCAAAGUUUCCAUCUUUUGAGCGUUCGAAAUCGUUGAAGUAACAAUGGAAAACAAAUGUCAGAGGUGAACUCUGCACGCAGACACAAUUGCACUCAAAGCUCUGGCUAGAGGCCAGUAAUCGAGCUCGGGGAUUUAGCCUUUACGAGGAUGAAACCUUUUUACGAUAAGACAUGAGGAAAGGGUUAGACGCAGCUAUUUGGUUACUCAAUCCAAUUUGACAAGCAAAUGCUUUCCCUCCUACCAUUUUGAUCUUUCCCUUUUCCCCGCUCCUUCUCCCUCCUUCAAUUAAUUUUCCAAUUUUCUCUUCGUUUUCGCUAUUAACCCUGCGACAGUCAUGUGGCCACCCUUUACGGUCAACAUACAAGCUCAGUGUACUGAACAGAACAUCCCGGAAACGUGAUUCAGCCAAUUUUUCUUUGACCGUAAUUCGAGGCUGCAUAAAACGAAUGAGCAUUGUCAAAGAUGAGAAUUGAUAUUCUGAAAAAAUGGUAUCAAGUCGUUUAACGUACGAAUAGCGAAACGUGGUGCAAUGACGAACUUCCCUUUGACGUAGGCAAAAUUCCCGGAAUUUGAAACUGAUCGAUUCACGAGUAGCUAUUCAUAAGCGAGAAACGCGCAUCAUCCGAGCGAAUUCCUUUUCGAUAAAGCUUAAUUUACUGUGAAAUGAAUUUCUCGAAAUAACGUUCGAAAAUUUUCCACCUUUGUGACAUUCCAUUCAACGAGUUAAAAUUACGAAAUUAUUUCAAUAAAUUACGAUUCGUCCUAACCGAUGUGCGGGGCUCCGGAAAUCACGAAAUUUAAGGGGGAGACCAAUACUCGGUUGGACGACCGCUCGGUUUCUCCGAAUUGCUGAUGGUGCUAAUCGCGAUGAAAAUCAUGAAAAAACCUGUUGAUGUAAUAUAAAUUUAGGAAAAUGAAGAUUUCUAAGAAUUUGUUCUCCUUGAGAAUUCUGCACUUUCCAGAAACUUUUCAUAAUUUCUGACAUUAAAAGUCCAAUAAAACUUUGAAACUGGUCGAAAAAUGAUGGCGAAUGCGAGAUAUUCUACGCACAGAUGUUCACGGUCAUUCCAAACUAAUUUCAUUAUGAAAUUUGAAAACUUGGCAGAAACGAUUCAGCUCGAGAGCAGGACUGAGCAGUAGAGCUCCUUCGUGAAAUAUUUUAGCAUGCGAUUAUUCCGCGAGAGACGAGAUUUUCAUUUGCCCAAGAGAUUGCUAUCUCUCGUUCAUCAAUCAUUCCUCUCGUAUCUAUUUUUCAAGAGAUAAAAAAACGAUUGUAGGAUGCAGUUUUAAAGAGCAGACGAGGCUGGGGAGCGAGCGAGAUCUAUGGCUACAGUUUGCGAAGGAGUUUUCACCUCCACCAUUAUUUUCGUCGAAUGUACGAUAAAUUAUGUGAUGAGAAAGAAAGAGAAAUUAACGGAGGGUCAUUUUUCCCACCGUAUGCUUCAGUCUGGAGCUCGCGCAUACGACGAUGAAACAAGUAUCAAUUGUUUGAAGAAAGAAAGGAAGAAAGUUAGUAAAUAAUCGUCGACGUGAAACUCAUCAAAUUUUCCCCCCGCCGCUCGACGAGCGAAUCGAAAUUCCGCAGGUUCGUUGCUCCGUUUUCUCCACAGUGCAACAGACACGAUCGUUUAUGAAUUUCGUUAUCGUCAGCCAUGAAAAAACGGCAAGAAAAAAUAACCGGUCGUUAUGCAAAAUGAGAAAAGUCUCUUUGUAAGCGUGUCUCAAUAAAUUCGAAAAGAUGA